UGGGGAAUUUUGGACAAUGGGCGAAAGCCUGAUCCAGCAAUGCCGCGUGUGUGAAGAAGGCCUUCGGGUUGUAAAGCACUUUUGUCCGGAAAGAAAUCCUUGGCUCUAAUACAGUCGGGGGAUGACGGUACCGGAAGAAUAAGCACCGGCUAACUACGUGCCAGCAGCCGCGGUAAUACGUAGGGUGCAAGCGUUAAUCGGAAUUACUGGGCGUAAAGCGUGCGCAGGCGGUUUGCUAAGACCGAUGUGAAAUCCCCGGGCUCAACCUGGGAACUGCAUUGGUGACUGGCAGGCUAGAGUAUGGCAGAGGGGGGUAGAAUUCCACGUGUAGCAGUGAAAUGCGUAGAGAUGUGGAGGAAUACCGAUGGCGAAGGCAGCCCCCCUGGGCCAAUACUGACGCUCAUGCACGAAAGCGUGGGGAGCAAACAGGAUUAGAUACCCUGGUAGUCCACGCCCUAAACGAUGUCAACUAGUUGUUGGGGAUUCAUUUCCUUAGUAACGUAGCUAACGCGUGAAGUUGACCGCCUGAGGAGUACGGUCGCAAGAUUAAAACUCAAAUGAAUUGACGGGGUCAUAGCUGUUUCCU
rnacentral:rRNA from 1 species